rnacentral:rRNA from 1 species
CCUACGGGCGGCUGCAGUGGGGAAUAUUGGACAAUGGGCGAAAGCCUGAUCCAGCCAUGCCGCGUGUGUGAAGAAGGCCUUCGGGUUGUAAAGCACUUUCAGUGGGGAAGAAAGCCUUGGGGCUAAUACCCUCGAGGAAGGACAUCACCCACAGAAGAAGCACCGGCUAACUCCGUGCCAGCAGCCGCGGUAAUACGGAGGGUGCGAGCGUUAAUCGGAAUUACUGGGCGUAAAGCGCGCGUAGGCGGUCUGAUAAGCCGGUUGUGAAAGCCCCGGGCUCAACCUGGGAACGGCAUCCGGAACUGUCAGGCUAGAGUGCAGGAGAGGAAGGUAGAAUUCCCGGUGUAGCGGUGAAAUGCGUAGAGAUCGGGAGGAAUACCAGUGGCGAAGGCGGCCUUCUGGACUGACACUGACGCUGAGGUGCGAAAGUGUGGGUAGCAAACAGGAUUAGAUACCCCUGUAGUC